AAUUAGGGCUUCUGUUGUGAGUGGCACAAGAAGGGCAGCUUGCUUGCUCUUUUUAUGGAAUAGACAUCAAGGGAUUUAGGAAGCAUCAUUUUUUGGACUUGGACAGCUGGAGAUCAUUGGCUGUGGUGCCCUU
ensembl:snRNA